ACUAAAUAGAUACCCCGGUAGUCCACGCCGUAAACGAUGAGUGCUAAGUGUUAGGGGGUUUCCGCCCCUUAGUGCUGCAGCUAAACGCAUUAAGCACUCCGCCUGGGGAGUACGGUCGCAAGACUGAAACUCAAAGGAAUUGACGGGGGCCCGCACAAGCGGUGGAGCAUGUGGUUUAAAUUCGAAGCAACGCGAAGAACCUUACCAGGUCUUGACAUCCCGUUGACCACUGUAGAGAUAUGGUUUUCCCUUCGGGGACAACGGUGACAGGUGGUGCAUGGUUGUCGUCAGCUCGUGUCGUGAGAUGUUGGGUUAAGUCCCGCAACGAGCGCAACCCUUGAUCUUAGUUGCCAUCAUUUAGUUGGGCACUCUAAGGUGACUGCCGGUGACAAACCGGAGGAAGGUGGGGAUGACGUCAAAUCAUCAUGCCCCUUAUGACCUGGGCUACACACGUGCUACAAUGGACGAUACAAACGGUUGCCAACUCGCGAGAGGGAGCUAAUCCGAUAAAGUCGUUCUCAGUUCGGAUUGUAGGCUGCAACCCGCCUAC
rnacentral:rRNA from 1 species